GUGUCAGCAGCCGCGGUAAUACGUAGGGUCCGAGCGUUGUCCGGAAUUAUUGGGCGUAAAGGGCUCGUAGGCGGUCUGUUGCGUCGGGAGUGAAAACUUACAGCUUAACUGUGAGCGUGCUUCCGAUACGGGCAGACUUGAGGUAUUCAGGGGAGAACGGAAUUCCUGGUGUAGCGGUGAAAUGCGCAGAUAUCAGGAGGAACACCGGUGGCGAAGGCGGUUCUCUGGGAAUAUCCUGACGCUGAGGAGCGAAAGUGUGGGGAGCGAACAGGAUUAGAAACCCCCGUAGUCC
rnacentral:rRNA from 1 species